GACUGUUCACAUCUUACCGGGCAGCAUUAGAUUAUGUUUACAGUUCUAAUACUGUCAGGUAAAGAUGUCGUCCGG
rnacentral:pre_miRNA from 1 species